GACGUCAACUACAACGCUGGAGGUCACCGGAGGAAAUCCAGCGCCUUGCAACAAAGAGCUCAUCACCGAAGACCAACGCUGCAGUGCGUUCUUCAUUCUGUUCCACGAGACUCUGGACCAGACCACCGCGAGACUCUGGACCAGACCACCACGAGACUCUGGACCAGACCACCACGAGACUCUGGACCAGACCACCACGAGACUCUGGACCAGACCACCGCGAGACUCUGGACCAGACCACCACGAGACUCUGGACCAGACCACCGCGAGACUCUGGACCAGACCACCACGAGACUCUGGACCAGACCACCAUGAGACUCUGGACCAGACCACCGCGAGACUCUGGACCAGACCACCACGAGACUCUGGACCAGACCACCGAGAGCAGACAGCUGGACUUCAUGUGCUCUCGGUUCAGUGACCAGGUCCAGUCAGGAUCCUAUGGAGCUCAUGGGCCAUGACACCAGGACCUACUUCAGCACCUCAAAGAGAAUGGACCAAAUGUCAACUGGAAGUUUUUAUAUUAAUACAGUUUGAAAAGGAUUGUUUUCCUAGUAUAUUCACAAAAGCUCAGCAGUAGACAUGAACCUGUGCACAAACAUCCAUCACAUAGAGACAUGAGAACUCACACUCACUCACCCACACACACAUACAUUCUAUUAUGUAAAUGAAUUUGCAUUUUAAAAGCAGCUGGAAAUGCUAUUUGUUAUUUUAUGGAUUUUUUUUGUUCAAAAGGAACUAUGUUGCAUGUAUUUUCUAAAUAUAUUUACUUAAUUUUAGAGAUAUUUGUUCAUGGGACUUAAAUGUUCUGAAAAUGUAUUAAUAAAUAUAAUUUACAACAGCAAUGACAUUUGUGUUAUCCUUUUGCAUUACACCAUACUGUUAAUUUUGAACAGACAUCAGUGUGUUUACUUUGAAUUAAUUAAUUUAGAUUAAUGUAUAUUUCCAUCGUAAAUUAGGUCUUAAAUUUUAUUUAGACGUGGUCUUAAAAAGUCUUAAAUUUCACUGGUUUAUUCCUGUAGACACCCUGCUGUUGUUGUUGGGUUCUUCCUGCAUGUUUAUACUGGGUGAGAUUUGAGAUUUAGUUUGAGCUCCUAACUGUUGGUCAGAUGUGGUUAAAAUCCUCCACUAGGGGCAGAAGAGCAGUGAGAAGCUGCUGGAGGAUUUAUCUCUGCAGUAGAUUUGAGGUCUCAGUCUUUAAUCCUCUGAACCCCAAAACCAUCGAGAUGGAGCAGCAUGUUUUCAUCAGUCACAGCAAGAAGCUGUAGAUAUUACUCUGUGGGCAGAUCUCAUCUUUACCGACGGUCCUCGAAUGCAACAUUUUCAACAAGCAGCAGAAAAAUGAAGAUUAUGUUUAAAAUGUCAUCAAACAUUAAUAUACGAUAAAAUAUCGGCCAAAAUAAUCAUUUUUCUUGAAGCAGAUUCCUUUAAAUAAAAAUAUAUUGUACGUUCUUCAAAGCAACUAUGAAGUCAUGAUUUAUUCAAGACUAACAAGUCAUGUGACAUCAAUGCUGUGACUGACAGAGCAGAGAGGUUGUAAUGUGUGUGUGUAUAUAUAUAUUAGUGCUGUGAAAAAUAACUCAGUUAAUUCAAUUUCAGGUUUAACUAGUUUUUUUUUUUUAACGCAUUUAACGCAUGCGCAGAAUGAGCUUCCAAUCUGUCUGUUGUUGGUCGUCGGGACGAAAAAAAAGUCACUUGCAAAAUGAGCUUCCAAUCCACCACUUCAAUCUGAACCCUGUCCGCUCUCAUGCAGACGGUCUGUUCAUCGGUAAUGAUCCUUCCGCAGGUUCACCUCCGGAAACCUUGUUACGACUUUUACUUCCUGUAGAUCAGGGUCUCAACACGUCGAUCGCGACCUGCCAGUCGAUCGCGGCGUUGUGUCGGUAGAUCGCAUGACAUUAAAGAGAUUGGCCCGCCCCCUGGCAUGUUCUCUAGAGCACGUCUUUGUUCUUUUAUUAAACUAAACGUCUGUUGUUGAUCGUAUCUCCACAGCAGCAUGUCAAGCAAAAAAAAAGUCACUUGUCAAUCUGUCCACCUGUCCGUGUCGGUGAGGUUUCAGCUUUGCAGCGGUGUCCCCGCCGUCCCUUUCAUCACGGCCCAGUUCAUGAAGAAAACCCCCAGUCAGUUUGCCUCAGCAGCUGCUAGAGGAAGACUAGAGGCCUUUAGAUUGUAUCAUGGUGGAGUUAAUGUUUGACAAACAAGAGAAAAAUGCUCUGUUUAACCCUAACCCUGUUACCUUUACAUUUACUAACAUGUUUUACCCUCGGGGUCAAUUUGACCCCAGCAAUUAAAACCUCCAGAAAAUUAUUAUAUUAUUUUAUGUUUGUUUGUUGACUACCUAAAUAGCCCUUUAAAUAUAUAAAAAAGUUGAUAUUUCUUAUAUGUUUGACACAGUGAAAAACAGCCUGGGGUCAAAUUGACCCCAAAGAACACCGACAUUAAACAUUGAAUGGGGUCAAAUUGACCCGAAAGGUAACAGGAGGGUUAAACAUUCUGUUUAGGAUGAAGAUGUAUUAAUGUUCCAGAUGGAAGAAAACUGCUAAAUAACUGCUGAGUUGCAGCACCAUUGUAUAGAAGAAUGUAUAAAUGUAUAUAUCCGUCUUUUGUCAUAAAUCUCUAUGUUCUCACAAAAUAUACCGAGAAUAUCGGUAAUAUGUGAUUAAUCAUGAUUAAUCCACAAAAACCUGUGAUUAACCCGAUUAAAAUUUUUAGUCGUUUCACAGCCCUAAUAUAUAUAUAUAUUCAUGUCCUUUUUAGAUUUAGGAUUCAACCUUUAGGAGGCAGGAGGAGCGGUGAUGACGCUUUUGGUUUUGAUCAGCGAUGAAAACACCCGACCAAUUCCUCUAAGAAGUUCUGAGCUCCAACUCACAAAAA